rnacentral:rRNA from 1 species
CUACGGGAGGCUCCAGUGAGGAAUAUUGCACAAUGGAGGAAACUCUGAUGCAGCAACGCCGCGUGGAGGAUGACGCAUUUCGGUGUGUAAACUCCUUUUAUAUGUCAAGAAAAUGACGGUAGCAUAUGAAUAAGCACCGGCUAACUCCGUGCCAGCAGCCGCGGUAAUACGGAGGGUGCAAGCGUUACUCGGAAUCACUGGGCGUAAAGGACGCGUAGGCGGGAUAUCAAGUCAGGUGUGAAAUCCUACAGCUUAACUGUAGAACUGCACUUGAAACUGGUAACCUAGAGUAUGGGAGGGGGAGGUGGAAUUAGUGGUGUAGGGGUAAAAUCCGUAGAUAUCACUAGGAAUACCUAAAGCGAAGGCGAUCUCCUGGAACAUAACUGACGCUAAGGCGUGAAAGCGUGGGGAGCAAACAGGAUUAGAUACCCCGGUAGUC